rnacentral:rRNA from 1 species
UACGUAGGGUGCGAGCGUUAAUCGGAAUUACUGGGCGUAAAGCGUGCGCAGGCGGUUCGCUGUGUCCUGUGUGAAAGCCCCGGGCUUAACCUGGGAAUGGCAUGGGAAACUGGCGAGCUUGAGUGCGGCAGAGGGGGGUGGAAUUCCGCGUGUAGCAGUGAAAUGCGCAGAUAUCAGGAGGAACACCGGUGGCGAAGGCGGGUCUCUGGGCCGAUACUGACGCUGAGGAGCGAAAGCGUGGGGAGCGAACAGG